AUGCCAUUAGCCACAUGUACUUCGUUACAUAUUACUGAACUCCCGUGUCCCUGUCCCUUCAAAAGCGGAACCUGGACUGAUGAGAGCUGUGUAUUCUGCCUUGUACCCGGAGUGUGUGUGUGCCGGGUCUUUUUGCUUUGUAUGGAUUCCUGGUUGAGAUCUGCAUGAAGAUUCUUCUCCCGCUGGGAUUUCUCCCAUCUCUGUAGAGGUAGUGGGGAACCUCAAUGGUAGUGGCGAGCUACCCAAACCAAGGACUGUUAUUUUGUUACAAAGAUUCUGAUUUUCCCAGUGGCUGGAUGUAUUGAGAAACUGUGGUUGAUAUCUCAUGUUUUUAUUUAUUAUUUUUAUUUUACUUCUUUAAAUCCAAACAAUAUAGCUCUUAAAAAAACGUACCUGUUGAUUGUGUGAGUCCUUUACUCUGUCAGUCAAUGCAUAUUGCUAAUACCCCUUUUCUCCUAUAGCGAUCUAUACUUCUGAUUUUUCUGGCCGACGAGUUAAUUAAUGCACUGAUAAAUAUAUCUGUAUCUCCCAGUCUUCACCAUCGACGGUUAGAGCUGAUGCUGGUUUCAUAAACAAGUACCUACUGGGUACCAUGGAGAUCUGCCUAAAUUCAUGUGAAUUAGGGUCUGAAUGUUAAACAGCAGCUUUACAUGUAUAUGGAUGUCAAUAUGACUGUCUUAAACCAUGUCUUAUUAUAUAUAGCCUAUAAAAACCUUGCCUGUGUCUUUGCAUGACUGUGUAUGUUAAAACAGUCUUAGUUUAUAUUAAAUAGAUAAAUGCAUUAAAUGAACCAUGGUAUAAAUCAACAAUAUCUUUCUUCAUUCUGCUCCUUAUGCCAACCUGUCUGGUACAGGAGAAGACGCACAUUUACACUGAACUUUGUCCCAUUUAAUGUAACCUUGGUUUAAGAUAACAUAAAUAAGAUUUACUUUAUUAAUCCUGAGGGGAAUUGUUGUGUUUCAGAUCCAGUGUGACGCCUGUGGAAGCUGGUACCACGAGGGUUGUGUUGGGAGACCCGACAGAGAUAAUUUGUGCAGUCGUCCUGCAUGCCCCCAGGCUCAAAUGUGUUGAAACAAGUACUGUAUAUAAUAAGUUAUUUAAUAAUAAAUUGAUCUUCCAUAUGUUACUCUUGCUACUAUAACAUGGAAGAUAUAAUUUCAUUAAACCAAGGGUGUAGCCAUGGUUUCAAG
rnacentral:lncRNA from 1 species